GAUGAACGCUGGCGGCGUGCCUAAUACAUGCAAGUCGAGCGAACAGUCGAGGACCUUGCUCCUCUGACUUUAUCGGCGGACGGGUCAUUAACACGUGUUUAACCUACCUAUAAGACUGGGAUACUUUCGGCAAACCGUAGCUUCUACCCGAUAACAUAUUGCCCCUCAUUGUUUCACCGUUAAAGUCGGUUUUUCUUUCACUUAUAGAUUCAUCCGCGCCGCAUUAGCUAGUUGGUAAGGUAACGGGUUACCAAGGCAACGAUUCGUAGCCGACCUGAGAGGGGGAUCGGCAAAACGGGAAGUGAGACACGGACGAGACUACGACGGGAGGCAGCAGAAGGGAAGAGUCCGGAAUGGGGGAAAGCAGGACGGAGCAAAGCCGCGUGAGUGAAGAAGGUCUUAGGAUCGUAAAACGAUGAUAUUAGGGAAGAACAAAAGUGUAAGUAACUAUGCACGGCAUGACGGUACCUAAUCAGAAAGCCACGGCUAACUACGUG
rnacentral:rRNA from 1 species